AUUGAACGCUGGCGGCAUGCCUUACACAUGCAAGUCGAACGGUAACAGGUCUUCGGAUGCUGACGAGUGGCGAACGGGUGAGUAAUACAUCGGAACGUGCCUAGUAGUGGGGGAUAACUACUCGAAAGAGUGGCUAAUACCGCAUGAGAUCUACGGAUGAAAGCAGGGGAUCGCAAGACCUUGUGCUACUAGAGCGGCCGAUGGCAGAUUAGGUAGUGGGUGGGAUAAAAGCUUACCAAGCCGACGAUCUGUAGCUGGUCUGAGAGGACGAUCAGCCACACUGGGACUGAGACACGGCCCAGACUCCUACGGGAGCCAGCAGUGGGGAAUUUUGGACAAUGGGCGCAAGCCUGAUCCAGCAAUGCCGCGUGCAGGAUGAAGGCCUUCGGGUUGUAAACUGCUUUUGUACGGAACGAAAAGCCCUGGGUUAAUACCCUGGGGUCAUGACGGUACCGUAAGAAUAAGCACCGGCUAACUACGUGCCAGCCGCCGCCGUAA
rnacentral:rRNA from 1 species